rnacentral:rRNA from 1 species
UACGUAGGGGGCAAGCGUUGUCCGGAAUCAUUGGGCGUAAAGAGCGUGUAGGCGGUUCGGUAAGUCGGCUGUGAAAUCCCCCGGGCUCAACCUGGGAACUGCAUUUGUGACUGCACUGCUUGGAGUCGGCGAGAGGGGGAUGGAAUUCCGCGUGUAGCAGUGAAAUGCGGUAGAUAUGCGGAGGAACACCGAUGGCGAACGGAGCAAUCCCCUGGGCCCGCACUGCUCAUGCGAAAGCGUGGGA